UACGUAGGGUGCGAGCGUUGUCCGGAAUUAUUGGGCGUAAAGAGCUUGUAGGCGGUUUGUCGCGUCUGCCGUGAAAAUUCGAGGCUCAACCUCGAACUUGCGGUGGGUACGGGCAGACUAGAGUGUGGUAGGGGAGACUGGAAUUCCUGGUGUAGCGGUGAAAUGCGCAGAUAUCAGGAGGAACACCGGUGGCGAAGGCGGCAUCCUGGACCGGCAUUGACGCUGAGGAGCGAAAGCCAGGGGAGCAAACGGG
rnacentral:rRNA from 1 species